UACGUAGGGUGCAAGCGUUAUCCGGAAUUAUUGGGCGUAAAGAGCUCGUAGGCGGUUUGUCGCGUCUGCUGUGAAAACCGGAGGCUCAACCUCCGGCCUGCAGUGGGUACGGGCAAACUAGAGUGCGGUAGGGGAGAUUGGAAUUCCUGGUGUAGCGGUGGAAUGCGCAGAUAUCAGGAGGAACACCGAUGGCGAAGGCGGGUCUCUGGGCCGAUAUUGACGCUGAGGAGCGAAAGCGUGGGGAGCGAACAGG
rnacentral:rRNA from 1 species